UACGGAGGGGGCAAGCGUUGUUCGGAGUUACUGGGCGUAAAGCGCGCGUAGGCGGUGCGGUAAGUCAGGGGUUAAAGGCUGCAGCUCAACUGCAGUAAGGCCUUUGAUACUAUCGUGCUAGAGUGUCAGAGAGGGUAGCGGAAUUCCCUGUGUAGCGGUGAAAUGCGUAGAUAUAGGGAGGAACACCGGUUGCGAAGGCGGCUACCUGGCCGGUAACUGACGCUGAGGUGCGAGAGCGUGGGGAGCAAACAGG
rnacentral:rRNA from 1 species